GAUGAACGCUGGCGGCGUGCCUAAUACAUGCAAGUCGAGCGAAUGGAUUAAGAGCUUGCUCUUAUGAAGUUAGCGGCGGACGGGUGAGUAACACGUGGGUAACCUGCCCAUAAGACUGGGAUAACUCCGGGAAACCGGGGCUAAUACCGGAUAACAUUUUGAACCGCAUGGUUCGAAAUUGAAAGGCGGCUUCGGCUGUCACUUAUGGAUGGACCCGCGUCGCAUUAGCUAGUUGGUGAGGUAACGGCACACCAAGGCAACGAUGCGUAGCCGACCUGAGAGGGUGAUCGGCCACACUGGGACUGAGACACGGCCCAGACUCCUACGGGAGGCAGCAGUAGGGAAUCUUCCGCAAUGGACGAAAGUCUGACGGAGCAACGCCGCGUGAGUGAUGAAGGCUUUUGGGUCGUAAAACUCUGUUGUUAGGGAAGAACAAGUGCUAGUUGAAUAAGCUGCACCUUGACGGUACCUAACCAGAAAGCCACGGCUAACUACGUGCCAGCCGCCGCAGUAA
rnacentral:rRNA from 1 species